UGGGGAAUAUUGCACAAUGGGCGCAAGCCUGAUGCAGCCAUGCCGCGUGUAUGAAGAAGGCCUUCGGGUUGUAAAGUACUUUCAGCGGGGAGGAAGGGAGUAAAGUUAAUACUUUUGCUCAUUGCCGUUACCCGCAGAAGAAGCACCGGCUAACCCCGUGCCAGCAGCCGCGGUAAUACGGAGGGUGCAAGCGUUAAUCGGAAUUACUGGGCGUAAAGCGCACGCAGGCGGUUUGUUAAGUCAGAUGUGAAAUCCUCGGGCUCAACCUGGGAACUGCAUCUGAUACUGGCAAGCUUGAGUCUCGUAGAGGGGGGUAGAAUUCCAGGUGUAGCGGUGAAAUGCGUAGAGACCUGGAGGAAUACCGAUGGCGAAGGCGGCCACCUGGACGAAGACUGACGCUCAGGUGCGAAAGCGUGGGGAGCAAACAGG
rnacentral:rRNA from 1 species